rnacentral:ncRNA from 1 species
GUUUGCCAAAAAUACACCGGUAAGCAGAUUUGCAUUGAUUUGUGGCUUCAAUA